rnacentral:misc_RNA from 1 species
GAUGAAGAACGUAGCGAAAUGCGAUAAGUAGUGUGAAUUGCAGAAUUCAGUGAAUCAUCGAAUCUUUGAACGCACAUUGCGCCCUUUGGUAUUCCUUAGGGCAUGCCUGUUCGAGCGUCAUUUAAACCUUCAAGCCCUGCUUGGUGUUGGGUGCCUGUCCCGCCUCCGCGCGUGGACUCACCUCAAAUCCAUUGGCGGCCCCCGCACGGCCACGAGCGCAGCAGAAACGCAAACUCGUGCCCCGACCGGGCCGCUCCCAGAAGCUACACUCACCAUUUUGACCUCGGAUCAGGUAGGGAUACCCGCUGAACUUAAGCAUAUCAAUAAGCGGAGGA